CCGGAUAUUUUUUUCCCCUCAUAGCAAGGAUAUAAUCUAUAUACACGCUACACACGGCAAAGUCGGAUAUAUAAAUGAGUCUUGUGCUACAUUGAUAUCUCAUGGUUUGAAUAGUUUACCUAAGCUUUCCAUUUCAAAUAAGAUUUUGUCAUCCUCUUUGUCCAACAAAACUGGUUACCUACAUGGUUACCAAGUUCCAACAGCAUACCAAACUCUCCUGCAAACGUAAAUCAUUAAGCAUCCGUGCCCAUCAUUUCCUCAUCAUUUUGAUACAAUAUGCUGCUCACAACUCUAUGAAGAAUGAACUUUACAAUUGUUGAGACACGGCGAGACGCUGGAAACUCAAAGCAUAAAUUUAGCAGGUGUAUGAUUCCCAGUUGCAUGAUGACACCUCCACUUUUGUUUGGGCCGCAUUAUACAUCCCCUUUGAUGGGGCCUUCCUCUGAUCGAUUAGCAGUCCAACAAUUCUUUCCAACCACAUCUAUCCCACAUAAGGAAAAAUAAAAUGGUCCCUACGGUAUAUGCACAGAGAUGCAUGCUUUGAGUUAUAUCAUUGAGAGAUGCAUGCUUUGAGUACUGAGUGCUAAUGGUCCCUAUGGUAUAUGUACGGAGAUUGGAGUUUACACAUUCACAUAUGCAAUUUUAACUGAUAAGUUAAUCUAACUAUGACCAAGCACACAUAAUUUUUUAUCAAUAUUUGAAAAGUUUUGAAACCCUGUCACUUAUCCUAGAUGCUAUCUUCAUAUAUAUGUUUGAAAGCCAUUUAUCUAAUGUCUUUCUCUUACAGUAAUGCGACCAACCCAGAUUGUGGGAGUCGAUGCAGCUACUCUGCAAGCAGCACAAUAAUAUUUCGUCCUUUACUCAGAAAAUUAUUUCAAGUAACUUGUCAUUCAAAUUAGUAAAUGCAAAGUCUUGCAAAGAAUACUUCCUCAAGCAUUCAUCAAGAAAAAAACUUCAUAUGAUCAACACAUUCAACACCAACUGCUAUCAACAAAUUAACCAAAAUACAAGCAAAUAUACAAUCCUGCAGUGCACUGUUUGUCCGGAGACAUACUUGUAUGAGUCACCUGCCAUUAACUUCGUCAUCCUCACUAUCAAGUAGUCUCUUACAACAAUACCUUUUCUAAAGUAAUAAAUAUUCAUUUAUCGAUAAAUGAACAAUUUAUUUAUUUAUCGAUAAGUGAAUAAUUUAUUAAUUUAUCGAUAAGUGAAUAAUUUAUUAAUUUAUCGAUGAUAUAAUAACUCGUUUAAAGUAAUAAUUUUUCAAUGUCUUAACGUUAUUCAUUUAUAGAAGUUUUAUUGUAUAUAGCUAUCCGCAUACACUUGAGAUUCAACCUUAGAAUUCGUAAUUUAUUUCCCGUUGAACGUUGGUUUAGAACCGAUAAUACAAAGGAUACAUUCGAAUGCUUUCCAUAACAUCCAUUAAACCCAGGAAGCUAGCUAGUUAAUUACCUAAUAUUUGGCCAUGCAUGACACAGCCUUUCUCCAUGCGCAUGCUCAUUGAAGCAACUCAUUACAAAAAAACAUACGAAAGUAUACAACUGCCGGGGCUGCUGGUUUAAUGCUUUUCAUGCUUGGAAUCCACAAAUACAUACUGUAUAUUAUCAUGGUAACUAAGCUAGUAAUAUAUAUCAAACAGAAAGUUUAUGUAGGCUGUACCUCACAAGCUUAAUUUUAUGUUACUAAUUGUGGUUAGGAGGGGGGACCUCACUAGAAAGCCAAGCUAGCUAGAAUUAGGUGCAUGUUGUUUACGCUUUUAGAUCGAUGAACCAUCACCACGAAAGUUUAAACUAUUUGAACUCCAAUUGCAUGCAUGCCCUAGGAGCAAGAUCAUAACGCCUUUUCGUUUCCUUUGUUUUCGCGUGCUCUAGGAACUAGUGGGGAAUCCAUAUUCCAAAUUUCCAAUUGCAAAGGUGUUCGACUACGGAUACAAAUUUGCUCCCAUUUUAUUUCCUCACCUUCAGCCUCAUUCAUCUAGAUGCAUGACACAUGUCCCAUUUUAUUUAACUCAUCUAACCAUGGUUAACAAAUCUGUUAAAAAAAAAACCAUGAUUAAUAAUAUAAAUCUAAAAUUAUUUAGGGUGCGGCUAUUGCCACCCCACCAAAUACUUUGUUCACCCCACAUUUUAAUUUUAAACUAAAUAUUCCAAUACUAACCCCACAAUCAAAAAUUUUGUGAAAAUAUAAUAUUAAACUUUUCCAUCUCACAAAAUGCUCAGUUCACCCCACGCCUUAUUUUUUUACCUUUAACGUUCCAAUUCUGCCCUUAAAAUUUUGAGAAAAAUAGGGUUUUUAUUUUCUUUCUAUUAUUUUCCUCAAUCUAAUAACAUCUAAAAAUAUAUACAAAUAUCUCAUCAAUAUAUUUGACGCAAACCUCUAUUUUUGUCAAACCACAUCCUAUAUACGUUCUCCUCGAUCUCUUUCUUGAGUUCAUUCUUUACGAUUAUGAAUAUANNNNNNNNNNNNNNNNNNNNGAUGUAAAGAUAUGAAUUAGUUGGUGUAUUUGAUCAAUGCAUUGAAUUAUUCUCAGAAAACAAAACCAACACAGCACAGUGUUCGUGGACUAAGAUGUCUGGGUUUGACACCACAUGUGAUAGCUUGUCGCAGCACAACGGUCUGUCUCUCCCUCUCUCUCUCUCUCUCUCACACACACACACACACAGACCCAAAUGUUAUU
rnacentral:lncRNA from 1 species